UACGGAGGGGGCUAGCGUUUGUUCGGAAUUACUGGGCGUAAAGCGCACGUAGGCGGCUUUGUAAGUCAGAGGUGAAAGCCCGGAGCUUAGCUCCGGAAUUGCCUUUGAGACUGCAUCGCUUGAAUCCAGGAGAGGUGAGUGGAAUUCCGAGUGUAGAGGUGAAAUGCGUAGAGAUUAGGAAGAACACCAGUGGCGAAGGCGACUUACUGGACUGUAACUGACGCUGAGGCAGUGAAAGCGUGGGAGCAACAGG
rnacentral:rRNA from 1 species